GGGAAUUGUAAAAUUCCACGUACAGACCAUGACUUGUGAGAUGACUGUGAGGAGUGAAGAUCAGCCCAUGAACAUGGACAGAAAAUUCUCCAACCAAGGUCACAGCAUGAAUUGACCUGGGCUGCCUUUCAGCAUGCUUGAGACCGGGGAGUGUGACAACCCAGUCUGCCCAGUGAUGGAAAGUUAGAAACUGGAAAUGUACCUGGAUGCCACCCUGAGUCAGCCCAAACCGAAGCAUCUCUACAAAACACCUAGAUGUGAACAAACUGCCGUCCUCUGACAAAAAUAUUCCGUCUGAGAAUUUCUGACCAGCUGCGGCGGUAAACACCUCCAGGGUGUCCUUUUUGUCUGAUACAGGGCAAAAAUUAUUCGGGUGC
rnacentral:lncRNA from 1 species